rnacentral:rRNA from 1 species
UGGGGAAUAUUGGACAAUGGGCGAAAGCCUGAUCCAGCAAUGCCGCGUGAGUGAUGAAGGCCUUAGGGUUGUAAAGCUCUUUUACCCGGGAAGAUAAUGACUGUACCGGGAGAAUAAGCCCCGGCUAACUCCGUGCCAGCAGCCGCGGUAAUACGGAGGGGGCUAGCGUUGUUCGGAAUUACUGGGCGUAAAGCGCACGUAGGCGGUAUCUCAAGUCAGGGGUGAAAGCCCGGAGCUCAACUCCGGAAUUGCCUUUGAAACUAGGACACUUGAACGUCGGAGAGGUGAGUGGAAUUCCGAGUGUAGAGGUGAAAUUCGUAGAUAUUCGGAAGAACACCAGUGGCGAAGGCGGCUCACUGGACGACUGUUGACGCUGAGGUGCGAAAGCGUGGGGAGCAAACAG